AAUUAUGAUGCACACUAAUUUAGUUUGAUUCCUGGAUUCCUACACUGUGUGUGUGUGUAUAUGUGUAUAGAAUCUCACCUUCUUCAUGAAAUAGGGCAUACCAAGACAACGGGCCUCCAACAACUGUGGGGUGUUUGUGCUCAUGUAUGCCCUCUACUUUGUGAUGGAGUCAGCUUUUGAUUUCAGUGAGUUGGACAUGGAGCAUUUAAGGAGAUGGUGGUGCAUGCUACUCAUUGACAACUUCCCCGUGACAUUAGAAGGCAGAAGAUUAACCAAAAGACGACUGGAGAGAUAAGACUGCGAAGAGUCCCAGGGUAAGUAAUCAUGAUGACCCACCCAAAAGAAGUAAAGUCGUAAAGGAAAUGGCAUUCUGCAGCGACUUUGGAUGGGUAUGUAGACUGUAAUUUACUACUU